AUGGUCAGGCAAGCCAGAUGGCCUGAGAUUGCUCCGCAGCAGCGCCACACCAUAGCCCAGCGCAGCCAGGCAGCGCUGCUCGAAACCUCCAGCAGAAUCCGUCGGCUGUCGCCUCUCCGGGUGAGACGUCUAGGUGAAGAACAAGUCUUUUGCGUGGGCUGCGUGGUAGAGGGCAUCAGAGGUUUUGCGUUAGUGGACACGGUGUCAAUCCUCACCAUUAUCUACCCAGGUUUCCUCACAAAACGGCCCAUCCACCCUGCCUGUGUGGACAACCACGCCGGUCCAGCGGGCUACGGUUACUGGCAACUGUGCGGCGCCGUGAGGGAAGAGGUGGCUUCUUAUCGCAGUGGGGAAAACACAGCAGAAUACGAGGUACGUAUGACUGACAUCCGGGAGUCCUGCUUCGUUGACCUGGACCUGCUGUCCCGCUGGGGAGCGCGCGUGGAUGUAGAGUGGGCAAUACUCCCGCACCUAAGUCGUGGUUCUCCGGCAGGGCACCUUCAGAAAGCGGAUCGGGCGGGGGCGGCAAAAAGCACCACGGUCUCAUCACGACCCGCCACAGUGCAGCACACCUGCACCUCAGCAAUCAUCAACAGCAACUUGCAGUUUGAAAAAAAUGGAAACGUGCUGAAGUUGAAAGAUAAGAUUUGUCCCGUUCAGUCAAUUCGUAUGGCCAACGACAGCUUUGAUACGACAAAGAAUAAUCAGCCGAAAUUUCGAAGUACCAUUCAAGCAAAACAACCGACCCCGCCAAACAUCAAUCUUGCUUAUUCUGCAACUGCCGAACAAAAAGCACAGGGCUUUGUUGAAUUGAUUUGUCUCAUGAGCGAAUACCUACCUGGAAACAUUGCAGUGACCUGGCAGAAAAACGGACAAGCCGUACAGUCCGGGUUUACCACCACUUCUUCCACUGGAAGUUCAGACGAAACGUUUACCUCAGCAAGUGUGCUCAAAGUGCCUGUAAACGAAUGGGCCAGUGGUGCUGUGCACUCGUGUAGUGUAUCCCACUCUGCAACUAGCAGCAACAUUCGCAAAGAAAUACGAGCUGAGUCAGAAUUCGCAUUGUUUCUCAGAGAUCCUACCGUUGAAGAAAUGUGGAAAAACAAAACUGCCACACUGGUGUGUGAAGUGAUCGCCACAACUCCAGCUGAGGUUUCCAUCUCUUGGACAGUAGGUGAAACGGAACGGGCCGAUGGUGUUGAAACAGAACAAGCAGCAAAGAUCGGGAGCCAGUACGUGACAGUCAGCCGUUUGACCAGCAGCGUGGCCGAGUGGGACAGCGGGGUAGAAUACUCCUGCUCGGUGCAGGACAAUCAAUCAGCUGCUCCGUUAUCAAAACGGACACGAAACUCAAAAGCCAAACCACUGAAACCAGGGGUACGCCUUUUGUCCCCGUCUCCAGAGGAGGUUCAAUCUGCGGGUAUCGCUACGCUCACAUGCAUGAUAACGGGAUUCUACCCCGAUGACAUAACCGUUUUGUGGCAGAAGGACAGAGCCGCAUUCUACUCUAACGCUACCAGCCUCCCAACUGCACUUCAACAGGACAUGACCUUCAGCACGAGAAGCCUCCUUUACUUGACUGCAGACGACUGGAAGAAGGACGCAACAUACACCUGUGUCGUCACGCACCCACCUUCACAAUCUAUUGUGAAAGCAAACAUCAGCACCUCGAAAAAAGACUGCCAUGAGGCUGAUAUUAAUGUCAUCAUAAAAAAGCCUUCCUUUGAAGAGAUUUGGACGCUUCGGAGAGCAACCAUUGUGUGCGAAGUGGUUUACACAGAUUUAGAGAAUGUCACAGUCUCCUGGCGAGUAAAUGGAAGUCAAAGAAUGAACGGAGUAGAGACUCGCGUUCCAGAGAGGAGGGGAAGUAAAUCCGUCAUCGUCACCAAACUGAAAGUCAGUGUAGAGGAGUGGAACAGUGGAACCGAAUACCUCUGCUUCGUAGAAGACCGUGAUCUGCCAACACCACUGACAAUCGCCACCAAAAAUCACAAGGUUACUGAAGUGCACCGUCCGAAAGUCUACCUCUUGUACCCAGCAGCUGAGGAGAUUCAAGCUGAGGAAGCAGCUACCCUAAUUUGCCUCGUGACCGGUUUUUAUCCGGAAGAUAUAUACGUCGGCUGGAUGGCUAAUGACACCCUUUUGGAUUCGGGAUACUUCAUCCAGUUUAACAGCGAUAAGGAAAACGGCUCUAACUCAGUCACCAGCAAACUGAGGAUCAGCGCAGAAGACUGGGAGAAGGGAACCACCUAUAGCUGUUUGGUUGGACAUCCGUCGCUACCAACAAAUUUAGUCAGAAGUAUUAAUAAAUCCCACGGUAAACCUACUUUAGUUAACGUGUCACUUGUACUAACUGACAACUUUAAAUCGUGCGUCUAAUUUUGCUUUAUUCAAUGACUAAUACUUUGGAAGUAUUUCUUGCUUACUGCGUAGCUGUUUGAAUUUUCGUUUUGCGGAUUCACAGAAGACCACGCAUAGUAUUC